CCUUUCAUGCAUCCUUAACAAAGAACUAGCGUUUUCCACCAAGCCUCUUGUAACAUACCCAGCUAGCAAAGGCUCUUGCUAACUAACCCGUGUUUACUUGCUUGCGCUGGCGACCAAGCCGUAAUUAACGAUGCUGUAAUUAACAAUGCCGGUCUUGUUAUCAGAGUCUCCCGGGAACACUGUGAGCGGACUCGCCUGCUGAAAUGAGGUGUAGUAACUUUCCUAGACUUAUGUUUUGUGUGACCCUCGCAUGGUGAGUGCCCAAUGUCUCAGCGCCUCCGGUAUGGGGUUUUACCUAUCUGAUUUGAGGACUCUGAGCCCCACCGGACAGAAGCUGCCACUUAGCCCGUGUAAUCCUCUCAGAGCCUAGCUGAAACAGGACGGGCACUCAGUAACGUGAUAUGUUCAGCAAGAAAAACAAACUGAGACUUGAACCAGGAAGAAACGUGUCCUAAUGAACAAUUGUCUCAGCUAAGUAUCACAAUUACCACUAACUCACUUUAUGGAACGUGAAUUUUAUGUAUACAUUAAUUAACCUUAAAAAUUAAACAUGAGUAGUUUUUUUUGUUUUUUUUUGUUUUUUUUUGUUUUUUUUUUAAAGUCAGUUUAGUACCCGGUUUAAGUAGCUUCGGUCAGGUAAAACAAGGGCAAUAUAUAUAUAAACUUAACUCUUCCAGAUUCCCCUACAUCUUUUAUCUAAAUCCAGCAAGCAUAAAAUAUACAUAAAAUUCCACCGAGUCUCAACAUAGUAUCAAGCGCGGAAGGGGGAUAACUGAGAUGCUGAGAUGAAAUUGCCUGUGUAGAAUAAGAGGACGCUGAAUCUCACUUACUCCGGGUUGAAUUUCCAUUCAACUGACCUAAGAAAUUCAAACUUUCUCUUCAGUGUCUAGAUACUCCCCCACCGGACCCAAAAGAGAAAGAACAAGAUGUAACAAUUGUAUAGUUCUAAUAGAUACAACAGCUGAAACGUCAUGAAAACAAAAACCACACCAAUCAAUCAAACAACCAAACAAACCCUUCUCAGAUCAGGAAGUGUCUUCCCAGAAUACUACAGACAAUU
rnacentral:lncRNA from 1 species